AGAGCGGGGACAGGAGCGGGACAGCGGCAACAGGAGAGCGGGGACAGGAGCGGGACAAGGAGCGGGGACAGGAGCGGGGCAAGCGGGGGAAAAUGAGAGCGGGGACAAGAGCGAGGCAAGCGGGGGAGCGGGGCCGGGAGGAUCGGAGCAACAGGAGGAGCGGGCAGACCGUAGUUUUCCCGGAGCUCCACAGUCUCCUCUCUUUGAAGUUGGACAGAUACAGUAAACACAACAAAUAUAUGAUACAACCCAUCACAGCUGGAUUAAAAAAAAAUACACAAAAAAUAUAAUACAUAAAAAAAAAUGGAUUUUUAACAUUGUGGAUUGACGCAGCUCUAAAAAUGGUGAUUGUAACCCUGGUAAGCUUUACAAAGUCUUUAAAAAAAUAAAACAGUACUUCAUGUGAAA